UUAAGCCCCAGUAAACGGCGGCCGUAACUAUAACGGUCCUAAGGUAGCGAAAUUCCUUGUCGGGUAAGUUCCGACCCGCACGAAAGGCGUAAUGAUUUGAGCGCUGUCUCGACAAUGCAUCCGGUGAAAUUGAAGUACCAGUGAAGAUGCUGGUUACCCGCGCCAGGACGGAAAGACCCCAUGGAGCUUUACUCCAGUUUGGUACUGGGAUUCGGUACUGCACGUACAGGAUAGGUGGGAGACUAAGAAACUUGAACGCCAGUUUGAGUGGAGUCGCUGUUGGGAUACCACCCCUGCAGUAUUGGAUUUCUAACCAGUCACCGUGAUCCGGUGAUGGGACAAUGCCAGGCGGGGAGUUUGACUGGGGCGGUCGCCUCCGAAAGGGUAUCGGAGGCGCUCAAAGGUUCCCUCAGAAUGGUUGGAAACCAUUCGAAGAGUGCAAAGGCAGAAGGGAGCUUGACUGCGACACCGACGGGUGGAGCAGGUACGAAAGUAGGACUUAGUGAUCCGGUGGUAUAAAGUGGGAUUGCCAUCGCUCAACGGAUAAAAGCUACCCUGGGGAUAACAGGCUUAUCACUCCCAAGAGUUCACAUCGACGGAGUGGUUUGGCACCUCGAUGUCGGCUCAUCGCAUCCUGGGGCUGUAGCAGGUCCCAAGGGUUGGGCUGUUCGCCCAUUAAAGCGGUACGCGAGCUGGGUUCAGAACGUCGUGAGACAGUUCGGUCCCUAUCCGGCGCGGGCGUAGGAUAUCUGAGGGGAGCUGGCCUUAGUACGAGAGGACCGGGCUGGACGGACCACUGGUGUACCGGCUGUCAUGCCAAUGGCAUCGCCGGGUAGCCAAGUCCGGAAGGAAUAAACGCUGAAGGCAUCUAAGCGUGAAGUCCCCCCCAAGAUGAGAUAUCCCAUCCUUUUAAAGGAGUAAAAACCCUUGAAGAGUACGAGGUAGAUAGGGCAGAGGUGGAAGUGUGGCAACACAUGGAGCUGACUGUUAC
rnacentral:rRNA from 1 species